UCCGUGGUGGCGAGUGGCGAACGGGUGAGUAAUACAGUCGGAACGUACCUGAGUGGGAUAACGUAGGCGAAAGUUACGCUAAUACCGCAUAUUCUGUGAGCAGGAAAGAGGGGGAUCGCAAGACCUCUUGCUUUUAGGAGCGGCCGAUGUCGGAUUAGCUAGUUGGUGAGGUAAAGGCUCACCAAGGCGACGAUCCGUAGCGGGUCUGAGAGGAUGAUCCGCCACACUGGGACUGAGACACGGCCCAGACUCCUACGGGAGGCAGCAGUGGGGAAUUUUGGACAAUGGGCGCAAGCCUGAUCCAGCCAUGCCGCGUGAGUGAAGAAGGCCUUCGGGUUGUAAAGCUCUUUCGGUGGGGAAGAAAUUGCUUCGGUUAAUACCUGGAGUAGAUGACGGUACCCGCAUAAGAAGCACCGGCUAACUACGUG
rnacentral:rRNA from 1 species